CAGAAGAGGGUGCUGGAUCCUCUGGAACCGGAGUUACCGACAGUUGUGAGUUGACGUGGGGGUGCUGGGAACCGAACCCAGGUUCUCUAGGAAAGCAGCAAGUGUUCUUCGCCCCUGAGGCCUCUCUUUAGUCUCCACCUUUGAGCAGGGUUCCUCACUGAACCUGGAGCCCGUUACCGCCUAGUCUGAUGUCCAGCAAGACCUGCCCGUCCCGGCCUCCCUGGCGCCGGCAUUACGCGUGAGCCCGGGAUCCAGGCUCAGGACGUUACGCUUUCGUGGCAGCCUCUUUACUGACUGAGCCGUCGUCCUAGCCGCUCUGACCGGUGAACUCGAUAUGGCUGUUUCCUCAGCUACAGGGGCUGUGCCUUCCUCAGCUACGCUGUGUGUCUGGCUGCUGCUGUCUACAGCAGCGUUUCCUCCCGUCUGUCGGGGGCUGGGGUGGGCAGACCGCAUGAUUGCAGUCAGGUCAGGGCGCUCCCCGCCUCAACACUCGGCCUUUGCUUCACCUCCAACAGACACCUGGCAUUAGGAGGUCGUCGGGGUCAUGUGGCUGCCCUCGACUGCGUGACAAAGAAGCUCACGUGUGAGAUCAACGUCAUGGAAGCCGUGCGGGACAUCCACUUCCUCCAUUCAGAGACACUGGGGCGUUAAGUGUCUCUGUCCAUAGCAGAUGAGAGACAAGGAAACUCCAGCCAGGAACCCCGGCGCCUCUAGAGAACUGAAGUUUUCUUUCCCGGACUCUAUAUACCUAAUAGAAGCUUCAUGUUAUGUGA